UUGCUUGUUUAUUUGUUUGUUUUAGUACUGUGGACUGAACGCUGAACUACAUUCUGAAGUCUUUUGCAUUUUUUUUUUCAGAUAGUCUUGCUAAAAAGCCCAGGCUGGACAAAACUUGAGAUCCUUCUGUGGCAAUCUCCCAAAGGACAGCGAUUUCAGGCAUGCACCACCAGAUAUCCUUUUUCCAGCAUCCUUAUCCUACUACCUGGCCAGAAUCUGAAAAAAACUCAGAUAAUGACCACCUUUGACACUCCUGAAAAGUACAAAAAUCAAGGACAUGGUGUACAAUCUGCAGAUGUAUUCUAC
rnacentral:lncRNA from 1 species